rnacentral:tRNA from 1 species
UCCUCGUUAGUAUAGUGGACAGUAUCUCUGCUUGUCACGCAGAAGACCAGGGUUCGAUUUCCUGACGGGGAG